rnacentral:rRNA from 1 species
CGUGCAGGCGGUCUGGUAAGUUGGGUGUGAAAUCUCCUGGCUCAACUGGGAGAGGACGUUCAAUACUGUCAGACUAGAGGGCGGUAGAGGGAGGUGGAAUUCCCGGUGUAGUGGUGAAAUGCGUAGAUAUCGGGAGGAACACCAGUGGCGAAAGCGGCCUCCUGGACCGCACCUGACGCUCAGACGCGAAAGCUAGGGGAGCAAACGGGAUUAGAAACCCCGGUAGUCCUAGCUGUAAACGAUGUUGACUGGGUGUUGGUGGGGUAAAAGCCAUCAGUGCCGAAGCAAACGCGAUAAGUCAACCGCCUGGGGACUACGGCCGCAAGGUUAAA